rnacentral:tRNA from 2 species
GUCGGGAUUGGUGGUGGCGAAUCUGUCGCUGGCGAUUUUGAUUCGCCAGCAAUACAUCAUCAAUCUGCUGUUCUGGCUGGCAACCCGGGCGCC